GGCGGGAUAGCUCAGCUGGUUAGAGCGCAUGAUUCAUAAUCAUGAGGUCGGGGGUUCAAGUCCCCCUCCCGCUACCA
rnacentral:tRNA from 1 species